AUUGAAUAAAAUAAUAAAGGUGCCAAUAUUAAAAUUGGAGAAUAGGGAAGCUGAAAAGCGCGGACCCACCACUGUAUAUAGUGACGAAUUCUUAAAUACCACUGAGCUGAGCUUGGGAAGGUUAGAACGAGAAUGAUCUAUAAGCCAGUAGACCUGCCUUAAUUAAAGUAGAAUG
rnacentral:ncRNA from 1 species